rnacentral:rRNA from 1 species
CAGGCUUAACACAUGCAAGUCGAGGGGCAUCAGGAAGAAAGCUUGCUUUCUUUGCUGGCGACCGGCGCACGGGUGAGUAACACGUAUCCAACCUGCCCUUUACUCGGGGAUAGCCUUUCGAAAGAAAGAUUAAUACCCGAUAGCAUAAUGAUUCCGCAUGGUUUCAUUAUUAAAGGAUUCCGGUAAAGGAUGGGGAUGCGUUCCAUUAGGUUGUUGGUGAGGUAACGGCCCACCAAGCCUUCGAUGGAUAGGGGUUCUGAGAGGAAGGUCCCCCACAUUGGAACUGAGACACGGUCCAAACUCCUACGGGAGGCAGCAGUGAGGAAUAUUGGUCAAUGGGCGCUAGCCUGAACCAGCCAAGUAGCGUGAAGGAUGAAGGCUCUAUGGGUCGUAAACUUCUUUUAUAUAAGAAUAAAGUGCAGUAUGUAUACUGUUUUGUAUGUAUUAUAUGAAUAAGGAUCGGCUAACUCCGUGCCAGCAGCCGCGGUAAUACGGAGGAUCCGAGCGUUAUCCGGAUUUAUUGGGUUUAAAGGGAGCGUAGGUGGACUGGUAAGUCAGUUGUGAAAGUUUGCGGCUCAACCGUAAAAUUGCAGUUGAUACUGUCAGUCUUGAGUACAGUAGAGGUGGGCGGAAUUCGUGGUGUAGCGGUGAAAUGCUUAGAUAUCACGAAGAACUCCGAUUGCGAAGGCAGCUCACUGGACUGCAACUGACACUGAUGCUCGAAAGUGUGGGUAUCAAACAGGAUUAGAUACCCUGGUAGUCCACACAGUAAACGAUGAAUACUCGCUGUUUGCGAUAUACAGUAAGCGGCCAAGCGAAAGCAUUAAGUAUUCCACCUGGGGAGUACGCCGGCAACGGUGAAACUCAAAGGAAUUGACGGGGGCCCGCACAAGCGGAGAAACAUGUGGUUUAAUUCGAUGAUACGCGAGGAACCUUACCCGGGCUUAAAUUGCAGUGGAAUGAUGUGGAAACAUGUCAGUGAGCAAUCACCGCUGUGAAGGUGCUGCAUGGUUGUCGUCAGCUCGUGCCGUGAGGUGUCGGCUUAAGUGCCAUAACGAGCGCAACCCUUAUCUUCAGUUACUAACAGGUCAUGCUGAGGACUCUGGAGAGACUGCCGUCGUAAGAUGUGAGGAAGGUGGGGAUGACGUCAAAUCAGCACGGCCCUUACGUCCGGGGCUACACACGUGUUACAAUGGGGGGUACAGAAGGCAGCUAGCGGGUGACCGUAUGCUAAUCCCAAAAUCCUCUCUCAGUUCGGAUCGAAGUCUGCAACCCGACUUCGUGAAGCUGGAUUCGCUAGUAAUCGCGCAUCAGCCACGGCGCGGUGAAUACGUUCCCGGGCCUUGUACACACCGCCCGUCAAGCCAUGGGAGCCGGGGGUACCUGAAGUACGUAACCGCAAGGAUCGUCCUAGGGUAAAACUGGUGACUGGGGCUAAGUCGUAACAAGG